rnacentral:Y_RNA from 1 species
GGCUGGUCCAAAGGUAGUGAGUUAUCUCAAUUGAUUGUUCACAGUCAUUUACAGAUUGAAUUCCUUGUUCUACUCUUUCCCCCCUUCUCACUACUGCACUUGACUAGUCAUAA